GACGAACGCUGGCGGCGUGCCUAAUACAUGCAAGUAGGACGCACAGUUUAUACCGUAGCUUGCUACACCAUAGACUGUGAGUUGCGAACGGGUGAGUAACGCGUAGGUAACCUGCCUAUUAGAGGGGGAUAACUAUUGGAAACGAUAGCUAAUACCGCAUAACAGUAUGUAACACAUGUUAGAUGCUUGAAAGAUGCAAUUGCAUCGCUAGUAGAUGGACCUGCGUUGUAUUAGCUAGUAGGUAGGGUAAUGGCCUACCUAGGCGACGAUACAUAGCCGACCUGAGAGGGUGAUCGGCCACACUGGGACUGAGACACGGCCCAGACUCCUACGGGAGGCAGCAGUAGGGAAUCUUCGGCAAUGGGGGGAACCCUGACCGAGCAACGCCGCGUGAGUGAAGAAGGUUUUCGGAUCGUAAAGCUCUGUUGUUAAGGAAGAACGAGUGUGAAAAUGGAAAGUUCAUACUGUGACGGUACUUAACCAGAAAGGGACGGCUAACUACGUGCCAGCAGCCGCGGUAAUACGUAGGUCCCGAGCGUUGUCCGGAUUUAUUGGGCGUAAAGCGAGCGCAGGCGGUUAGAAAAGUCUGAAGUGAAAGGCAGUGGCUCAACCAUUGUAGGCUUUGGAAACUGUUUAACUUGAGUGCAGAAGGGGAGAGUGGAAUUCCAUGUGUAGCGGUGAAAUGCGUAGAUAUAUGGAGGAACACCGGUGGCGAAAGCGGCUCUCUGGUCUGUAACUGACGCUGAGGCUCAAAAGCGUGGGGAGCGAACAGG
rnacentral:rRNA from 1 species